rnacentral:rRNA from 1 species
GAUUAAGUUAUUAAGGGCGCACGGUGGAUGCCUUGGCACUAGAAGCCGAUGAAGGACGUUACUAACGACGAUAUGCUUUGGGUAGCUGUAAGUAAGCGUUGAUCCAGAGAUUUCCGAAUGGGGGAACCCAGCAUGAGUUAUGUCAUGUUAUCGACAUGUGAAUUCAUAGCAUGUCAGAAGGCAGACCCGGAGAACUGAAACAUCUUAGUACCCGGAGGAAGAGAAAGAAAAUCGAUUCCCU